rnacentral:rRNA from 1 species
CCUACGGGAGGCAGCAGUGGGGGAUAUUGCACAAUGGGGGGAACCCUGAUGCAGCGACGCCGCGUGGGUGAAGAAGCGCCUCGGCGCGUAAAGCCCUGUCAGCAGGGAAGAAAAUGACGGUACCUGAAUAAGAAGCCCCGGCUAACUACGUGCCAGCAGCCGCGGUAAUACGUAGGGGGCAAGCGUUAUCCGGAUUUACUGGGUGUAAAGGGAGCGCAGACGGCAAUGCAAGCCUGGAGUGAAAGGCGGGGGCCCAACCCCCGGACUGCUCUGGGAACUGUAUAGCUAGAGUGCAGGAGAGGUAAGUGGAAUUCCUAGUGUAGCGGUGAAAUGCGUAGAUAUUAGGAGGAACACCAGUGGCGAAGGCGGCUUGCUGGACUGUAACUGACGUUGAGGCUCGAAAGCGUGGGGAGCAAACAGGAUUAGAUACCCGAGUAGUC